rnacentral:tRNA from 1 species
GCCCUCGUAGCUCAGUGGAUAGAGCACCGACCUCCUAAGUCGGGUGUCGCUGGUUCGACUCCAGCCGGGGGCG